rnacentral:lncRNA from 1 species
AACAUCACACGUUGAACAAAUUGAAUAAACUAACACAUUCAACUACAUUCAAUUAUAUAAUCAACCACGUUCAGUUCCAUCACAUUAACCCCUACAUGACUUCCAUCAAAAAUCACUUCCAGACACUUUUGUUAAGAAGCUUUACCGCGACAGCCAUCGCUCCAAUCCCAAAUCAACGGUUGCGAUCUGCCCGAUGGAGGCCGACGACGAAUCUUCUGCGAUCUGCCGGCAUGUCGUCGUCGUGGCUAGAAGCAUACUACGAUCACACUUGCCGAUGACUUGUCGUUUCAGUCUGAGCUCUGAAGCUUCUCUGCUACUUUGAUUUGUACUCUGCAACACCAAAAAAGAACAAAAAAGGAACAAAAAUUAACUAAGAAUUAAUGCAUUAGACGUUGGCAGUAAAACCCAAUUCUCAGAACUACUAGUGCCACAAAAAUUCCUGUAUUUUUUUAUAACACUCGACGAAUAAAGCCCAAAAGCAAAAAACAGAGAAAAAAGAAGAAUCUGAGGACUCUGAAGCUUUUCAGGUGCUCUGGCGAUUGGGACAAGCUUCUCCAGGUGAUAGUAGAGCAAGUCACCUCCAUGGUUGAGAUCCAUCUAGAAAAGCUUAAGGUCAGUGAAGUAGGCCUCGCUGCCAUCUCCGAUUGCUUGGAUCUGGAGAUUCUACACCUGGUCAAGACCCCUGAGUGCACAAAUGCAGGUUUGGUCUCGGUCUCCCAACGCUAAUUUGCCUCACCCAUCUUCUCUCAGACACUUUUGCAGAAGCUUUAUCGCCCAAUUUUCCACGACUGAAAAACCCUAUUUCUCAGAAAAAGCAUAGAAAUUGGUCUGAUGAUGUUGACGAUGACCACGAAGAAAUAUAUUUGAAGCGUGAGAGGUAAAAGGGAGUUGAC